GUGCCAGCAGCCGCGGUAAUACGGAGGAUCCAAGCGUUAUCCGGAUUUAUUGGGUUUAAAGGGUGCGUAGGCGGCCCGUUAAGUCAGGGGUGAAAGACGGUAGCUCAGCUAUCGCAGUGCCCUUGAUACUGACGGGCUUGAAUAGACUAGAGGUGGGCGGAAUGUGACAAGUAGCGGUGAAAUGCAUAGAUAUGUCACAGAACACCGAUUGCGAAGGCAGCUCACUAUGGUCUGAUUGACGCUGAGGCACGAAAGCGUGGGGAUCAAACAGGAUUAGAUACCCUGGUAGUCC
rnacentral:rRNA from 1 species